GUUUUUUUACUUUUUUGCUGCAUUUGGUUCUCUAUCUGUUUCGAAACAAACGAGAGAAGAGAUAGGGAGAAGAAUCGAUUUUUCAUAAGUCGAUUCACAACCCAUCGGUUUUCCAGUUAAAAAUGAUCUCUUCAAUUCUGGGUAUUAAUCGAUUGAUUUCGGAGGAGAAGACAUUGAUGCUCAGUUCAAGCAAUUCUCGCCUCCAAUGUCGAGAGGACCAGGUCGACUGAUACAGAACGUGACAUAGUUCGCAGAUGCUCCGUUCAAGUAAUAGACAUUCUCGAUUUACCAAUCAAGCUUUUCUUGUCUCCUUUCACUCUUGGCUUUGGCAUCCCUGAAUUCAUCUCAAAACUGUCUAACCUCUCUGUUUUCGCGGUUGCUACACUUGGAACUUAUGACAUUGCAUUGGAUUUGGGAAAGAAAGUCAUAUGCCAAAGGGAUUAUUGCAAAACUUGUAAUGGGUGGCAGGCAUUACGGUGCACCAUGUGCAAAGGAACAGGGAAUGUUCAUUACCAAAUCAAAGAUGGGAUUGUCUCUUGUUAAACCAAGUUUAUAAUCGCUUCAGCCAUUAGAUUUCAUGAAAAUUAAUCAAUUCACCGUUAUUCUGAUAAUUCUCUAAGUAUUCAUUAUCUAAAGUAAACUGAUGGAUGUUAAUGAUUUAGUUAUCCAAGUGAUAUAUUGUAACAUACAUAAAAGAACUUAAAGAUUUCUUAUUUCUGUCUUCUUUGUAGUGGAGAGAAGAAACCAACAGCUGAUUCUGUCGCAGAUGCCAUAGUUGAAAAUCGAGCUGAGUUGGUUCAUCUUCCCUCCUCCAUCGACAUUAGUGCACCAUUGCCUUCAAAAGACUGCCCAACUUAUGAUGGAAUAGUAAGCUCUGUCCCCCCUGCUCAUGGUCUAGGCUACGGUUAAUGUAUUUACAUUGCUAUAUUUGAUACAGAUUUGGUUUAUUUCUCUCAAAUUGUUAUGUACUACUGUUUAUUUCAUGUCCAUGUGAUAAGGUGCUUUUAUGUGUGUUAAGGUGAACAAAAUAGACCAAUUUUACUUA